AACGAACGCUGGCGGCAGGCUUAACACAUGCAAGUCGAACGCCCCGCAAGGGGAGUGGCAGACGGGUGAGUAACGCGUGGGAAUCUACCCAGAUCUUCGGAACAACUGAGGGAAACUUCAGCUAAUACCGGAUACGCCCUACGGGGGAAAGAUUUAUCGGUUCUGGAUGAGCCCGCGUUGGAUUAGCUAGUUGGUGAGGUAAAGGCUCACCAAGGCGACGAUCCGUAGCUGGUCUGAGAGGAUGAUCAGCCACACUGGGACUGAGACACGGCCCAGACUCCUACGGGAGGCAGCAGUGGGGAAUAUUGGACAAUGGGCGAAAGCCUGAUCCAGCCAUGCCGCGUGAGUGAUGAAGGCCUUAGGGUUGUAGAGCUCUUUCAGUAGGGAAGAUAAUGACGGUACCUACAGAAGAAGCCCCGGCUAACUUCGUGCCAGCCGCCGCGGUAACAC
rnacentral:rRNA from 1 species